rnacentral:rRNA from 1 species
CCUACGGGUGGCAGCAGUGAGGAAUAUUGGUCAAUGGGCGCGAGCCUGAACCAGCCAAGUCGCGUGAGGGAGGACGGCCCUACGGGUUGUAAACCUCUUUUGCCGGGGAGCAACGGGCGUCACGUGUGGCGCCACUGAGAGUACCCGGAGAAAAAGCAUCGGCUAACUCCGUGCCAGCAGCCGCGGUAAUACGGAGGAUGCGAGCGUUAUCCGGAUUCAUUGGGUUUAAAGGGUGCGCAGGCGGGCCUUUAAGCCGGCGGUGAAAUAGCGGGGCUCAACCCCGCCGAGCCGUCGGAACUGGGGGCCUUGAGUGCGGCGGAGGCAUGCGGAAUGCGCGGUGUAGCGGUGAAAUGCAUAGAUAUCGCGCAGAACCCCGAUUGCGAAGGCAGCGUGCCGUGCCGCCACUGACGCUGAGGCACGAAAGCGCGGGGAUCGAACAGGAUUAGAUACCCGAGUAGUC